UACGUAGGGUGCAAGCGUUAAUCGGAAUUACUGGGCGUAAAGCGUGUGCAGGCGGUUGUGCAAGACCGAUGUGAAAUCCCCGGGCUCAACCUGGGAAUGGCAUUGGUGACUGCACGGCUAGAGUGUGUCAGAGGGGGGUAGAAUUCCACGUGUAGCAGUGAAAUGCGUAGAGAUGUGGAGGAAUACCGAUGGCGAAGGCAGCCCCCUGGGAUAACACUGACGCUCAUGCACGAAAGCGUGGGGAGCAAACAGG
rnacentral:rRNA from 1 species